GAGGGGAGACAAAAUAACAUUGUCACCUAGAGACAUAGGAAGUAUCAAUAUGUGCCUAACAAAGUGCUACACCUCUGCAUAAAUAUUCAACAACUAAUGUAAAUACAAGCUAACCUUGAUUGAUCAAUGUGAGGUUGCACAUGUAAUUGAUGAGUUCCUCCUCUUGCAUACGUGGGCCAAAGUGAGAUUUGGUUUUCUUGUGCACUGAAAGCACCAUGGACAAUAAUGACUUUGGCCUUGAAGAUGAACAAAGAAAGGUAACAUGUUACUAAAAAUGAAAAAGGAUAGCAUGUUGUCCGGAUAUGCAUUGCGCUAAGGAUUCUGAUUCUUUAUAAAUAUGUUUAUUGCACGCUAGGAGUUGUGCCAAAAUCCAUAUCAUGUUCGACAGAAGCACAUGAACUGAUAGAAAAUUCAGAAUUAGAAGAAUAUGAAAAGUACCUUAUUCCUUCUCCUGGUAGAGGAGUAACUUCUUGUGCAAUCAUAUGAAAAUUGAUUUAACUGGGUGCAUGGACUCUCAGCUGGGGCACCAGAUCGGACAGAAAGAAAUUGAAAUUAAAGCACUUAUUAUAAAAGGCUUUAUACUUGACUCAAUCCAACUGGGUUUGUCCACCUGUUAGCUGACUUAGCCGGAGUUCUCGCCAGCAAUCGAUCGAGUCAUGUACCUGUAUAUAGCCUGCUUAGCAUGUAGCUUCGUAAACAUAUACCCAUCGUGUGCAUGCAUAUUCUUUGUUAUUCUAAGCCAUAUCAAUCAACGCCGGCAGCUAGUAGCAAAGCAUGUCCUUGUAUGCUAAUCCAGAUCAAACAAUUUAGUCAGCACUUUAGUACUAGCAAAGUGUGUACGUCUGCCCAGAGAAGAAUGGCUCCAGCUGCUUGCUUGCGUAGUUUUGUAGGCUUGCGUCGCUGUAACAUCGAUCGACUCACGAGAAAUCAAGCCAGUGUGAAACACCUGAGCCGCCGUCGCAGCUGGUGCCUCCUUGGACACGGCGCUCCCUUCCAACGACUGUCUCCUCUCUGCUACG
rnacentral:lncRNA from 1 species